UACGAAGGGGGCUAGCGUUGCUCGGAAUCACUGGGCGUAAAGGGUGCGUAGGCGGGUCUUUAAGUCCGGGGUGAAAUCCUGGAGCUCAACUCCAGAACUGCCUUUGAUACUGAGGAUCUUGAGUUCGGGAGAGGUGAGUGGAACUGCGAGUGUAGAGGUGAAAUUCGUAGAUAUUCGCAAGAACACCAGUGGCGAAGGCGGCUCACUGGCCCGGUACUGACACUGAGGCACGAAAGCGUGGGGAGCAAACAGG
rnacentral:rRNA from 1 species